GAACGCUGGCGGCGUGCCUAAUACAUGCAAGUCGAGCGAACGGACGAGAAGCUUGCUUCUCUGAUGUUAGCGGCGGACGGGUGAGUAACACGUGGAUAACCUACCUAUAAGACUGGGAUAACUUCGGGAAACCGUAGCUAAUACCGGAUAAUAUUUUGAACCGCAUGGUUCAACAGUGAAAGACGGUCUUGCUGUCACUUAUAGAUGGAUCCGCGCUGCAUUAGCUAGUUGGUAAGGUAACGGCUUACCAAGGCAACGAUGCAUAGCCGACCUGAGAGGGUGAUCGGCCACACUGGAACUGAGACACGGUCCAGACUCCUACGGGAGGCAGCAGUAGGGAAUCUUCCGCAAUGGGCGAAAGCCUGACGGAGCAACGCCGCGUGAGUGAUGAAGGUCUUCGGAUCGUAAAACUCUGUUAUUAGGGAAGAACAUAUGUGUAAGUAACUGUGCACAUCUUGACGGUACCUAAUCAGAAAGCCACGGCUAACUACGUG
rnacentral:rRNA from 1 species